CGCAAGGUGGUCAUUACUAUUCUCCGUCAUCGGAAAGCGAAGACAAAUACAUUCACAGAAUUGGAAAUGUUGAAUGGUGUGAGUGUGGCUUUUGUGUGGUCAUGAGUACAGAACGGGAAAGUGUAUGUUGCCAAGAGGUAAACAAUACUGAUCCUCUGAUACAUGGCGAUCAUAUUUGCAUCACACAAGAGGAAGAGUUUACCACAGUGUGUACAAACGAAGCUGUCGUAAAAACAGCUAUGGUCGUGUACACACAUGGCAUUGGACCUAUGCCUGAGAGUGAAGAAAACGAGUGAGAGUCUGAUCCAUUGUAGCUAUUGCUCAUCGUCGACGUGCUUUCUGUAUCAGACCAUACAGCGCUAUCCUCAAAAUGUUCAAUUUCACAUGACGUCUCUGUUUGCUGUGAUUUUUUGUUGAAAUUAACUCAACCUCCGUACCUUAGCAUAAAAUUAUCGCAUUGCUGGAUUUUUCACAAAAAUCAAAACGGCCGAAAUGGAAAGUCUAUACAUCUACUUAUCAUAUUUGGCACUUUUGUUUGAGUGGUUCUUAACCUUACGUGUUUUUGCGGAAGGAUUGUUAUGUCUGCUUGGCAUUUCACAUUGCGCUUCUAAGACAAACUUCCUUUGAGGUAAAACGCACAAACAUUUCG